rnacentral:rRNA from 1 species
UACGAAGGGGGCUAGCGUUGCUCGGAAUCACUGGGCGUAAAGCGCACGUAGGCGGAUUGUUAAGUCAGGGGUGAAAUCCUGGAGCUCAACUCCAGAACUGCCUUUGAUACUGGCGAUCUUGAGUCCGGGAGAGGUGAGUGGAACUCCGAGUGUAGAGGUGAAAUUCGUAGAUAUUCGGAAGAACACCAGUGGCGAAGGCGGCUCACUGGCCCGGUACUGACGCUGAGGUGCGAAAGCGUGGGGAGCGAACAGGG